AUUGAACGCUGGCGGCAGGCUUAACACAUGCAAGUCGAGCGGAGUGAUGGUGCUUGCACUAUCACUUAGCGGCGGACGGGUGAGUAAUGCUUAGGAAUCUGCCUAUUAGUGGGGGACAACAUCUCGAAAGGGAUGCUAAUACCGCAUACGUCCUACGGGAGAAAGCAGGGGAUCACUUGUGACCUUGCGCUAAUAGAUGAGCCUAAGUCGGCUUAGCUAGUUGGUGGGGUAAAGGCCUACCAAGGCGACGAUCUGUAGCGGGUCUGAGAGGAUGAUCCGCCACACUGGGACUGAAACACGGCCCAGACUCCUACGGGAGGCAGCAGUGGGGAAUAUUGGACAAUGGGGGGAACCCUGAUCCAGCCAUGCCGCGUGUGUGAAGAAGGCCUUAUGGUUGUAAAGCACUUUAAGCGAGGAGGAGGCUCUUUUGGUUAAUACCCAAGAUGAGUGGACGUUACUCGCAGAAUAAGCACCGGCUAACUCUGUGCCAGCCGCCGCGGUAA
rnacentral:rRNA from 1 species